CGGAAUUCGGCGUCGGACUCGGAGCCCCGCGUAGUUCCGGAGGCGACUGCGACGCAUGGCGGCGAGCAGUGUGGAAAAGACGCGCGGGUGGCGGGGCCUUGCACUGCGGCGGCCCUCCGGCACCCUCGUGCUGCCCGCCUUCCUCCAGGCCCUAGGACCUCAUGCCCGGGAGGCAGCGUGGGCCCCAGGCCCGGGUACUCACUGCGCCUCCCGCAGACGCCGGCUUCCCGGCCCAGUUUCCAGCACCGGGAAUCUUUCCACUGUCUGUCUCUGCCCAGGGCAACCCGCGCGCAGUAACACCGACCGCAGAGCGCACCCGUUAGGCGAUGAAGGCACAAAAGAAGAGGAAGAAAACCUGGAACAGAGCCUCGGUGGCAAAUGGAGGCGAGAAGGUCUCAAAGAAACCCGCCCCAGAGGAAGUUCCCGUAAGCGCGGAGGCUCAGGCAAGGGCGGGCGUCAGUCGGGAGGGGUGGAAUCCCCCGGUGCGAAUCCAGCGGCACGUGUGAUCCACGGGUCCGCGGAGUUAAGGCGGGGAGGGGGAUGGAGUGGGGCCGGGCGUUGUGUUGUGUCCCAGCGCCCUCUCAUAGCCGCGGCCCCAAAUCCGUCACAGGUACAAGCAGUUGGCCCAAGGAUUGGCUUGGUGCGUGGAGCGACUGCAGCUGGGUCUCAAGAGGCAGAAAUUUCCAUCCCGACACAGAAACAAGGCUUACUAGUGGCUUCAGAGGAAGAGCGAGAAAGGCUUGAAAGGAGUGAAAAGAACAACCACAGAUGCACUUUAAAGCAAGAAAAUGAAGAAAAAACAAAUGUUGAUAUGCCGUACAAAAAAGCGUAG
rnacentral:lncRNA from 10 species